rnacentral:lncRNA from 1 species
AGAAAUAUACAAAAAUAGAGAAACAGUCGGUUCUCUCUCUCUUUCAUUAUCUCUUCAAUUUCUAACCGUAAAUUUCGAUCAAUCCAUGGGAUUCGAUGUUCUUCACAUGGUAUCAGAGCAGCGGUUCUGAUUCUACUCGUCACCGGCUUUCUCGCGAUGUUACCCUCAUCAACUUUCAUCUGAGUUUCUCUGUUAACUGAAAAAUCUACGGUUUUCUCAUUUUGCUGGGUUUUCCUCUAUAAUCGUUGGUUUUUUUUAGUCGG